GACAAAUGGAGCUGCAGCCCUGCUACUCUGGUCGUUCAGUCAUCUGAACCAUGGCUUCUGGCUGCUGCAUUAUCAAUCUGACUCUGACCUGUCCAGAGAAAUGGAAAGAAUGAACAAUUGAAAGUGAGAAGGUCAAGGAGGGGAUUUAAGGCAAACUGUACUGUCUUUCCCUGGAUGCUCUGACUUUCAUCGCAACAUCUAACUCAGUAAUAACAAGAAAAAAAUCCAGUGAUCACAAAUGGAUUCAAAAUACCAUGUGGAACAAGUCAGUAAUCCCAAAAAUUAGCAAAUUGAGGCCUGACAGGAAGAAGGCCAACAGAAGAACAAGACAGUGAAAUGAAUAUUCCUUGUGGCCCAUGGUACUGCUUCAUGGACUGUGUGUGUUUAGCAGUGCUCACUGACUCAGACCAUGGUCUCACUGACAUUGGAUAGUGUGUAAACCAUUACAGGAUUUCAUAAAGGAUUCACAGUGACAUCUCUGCCUUCAAGCCUAUCUAUCUAGUUAUUUUUCCCUCUGCCACUCUCAGUGCAUUCUUUCCCAAUCUGUCUGUGUUUCUUUAAGAUAUGAAUAAAUU
ensembl:lncRNA